UACAGAGGAUGCAAGCGUUAUCCGGAAUGAUUGGGCGUAAAGCGUCUGUAGGUGGCUUUUUAAGUCCGCCGUCAAAUCCCAGGGCUCAACUCUGGACAGGCGGUGGAAACUACCAAGCUGGAGUACGGUAGGGGCAGAGGGAAUUUCCGGUGGAGCGGUGAAAUGCGUAGAGAUUGGGUAGAACACCGGUGGCGAAGGCGGCCAUCUGGGCAUUAACUGACGCUGAGACGCGAAAGCGUGGGGAGCAAACAGG
rnacentral:rRNA from 1 species